AACUUUAAAGCUUUUUAAGCAUUUCACUUACACUGAAAAGAUAAGAAUUUAACUUUUUUUAUUA
rnacentral:tRNA from 1 species